CCUACGGGAGGCAGCAGUGGGGACUAUUGCGCAAUGGGCGAAAGCCUGACGCAGCGACGCCGCGUGAGGGAUGAAGGUCUUCGGAUCGUAAACCUCUGUCAGCAGGGCAGAACGGUCACUGUGCUAAUCAGCAGUGAAUUGACGGUACCUGCAAAGGAAGCACCGGCUAACUCCGUGCCAGCCGCCGCGGUAAUACGGAGGGUGCGAGCGUUAAUCGGAAUUACUGGGCGUAAAGCGCUCGUAGGCGGUAUGUCAAGUCAAGGGUGAAAUCCCCGCGCUCAACGUGGGAACUGCCUUUGAAACUGGCAAACUGGAGUGUGUGAGAGGAUAGUGGAAUUCCAGGUGUAGGAGUGAAAUCCGUAGAUAUCUGGAGGAACAUCAGUGGCGAAGGCGACUAUCUGGCACAUAACUGACGCUGAGGAGCGAAAGCGUGGGUAGCAAACAGGAUUAGAUACCCUUGUAGUC
rnacentral:rRNA from 1 species